AUUGAACGCUGGCGGCAUGCCUUACACAUGCAAGUCGAACGGCAGCGGACCUUCGGGUGCCGGCGAGUGGCGAACGGGUGAGUAAAGUAUCGGAACGUACCUUUCAGUGGGGGAUAACGUAGCGAAAGUUACGCUAAUACCGCAUAUUCUGUGAGCAGGAAAGCAGGGGAUCGCAAGACCUUGCGCUGAUUGAGCGGCCGAUAUCAGAUCAGCUAGUUGGUGAGGUAAAGGCUCACCAAGGCGACGAUCUGUAGCGGGUCUGAGAGGAUGGUCCGCCACACUGGAACUGAGACACGGUCCAGACUCCUACGGGAGUCAGCAGUGGGGAAUUUUGGACAAUGGGGGCAACCCUGAUCCAGCCAGGCCGCGUGAGUGAAGAAGGCCUUCGGGUUGUAAAGCUCUUUCGGCCGGGAAGAAAUCGCACAGGCUAAUACCCUGUGUGGAUGACGGUACCGGAAUAAGAAGCACCGGCUAACUACGUGCCAGCCGCCGCCGUAAAAC
rnacentral:rRNA from 1 species